UACGUAGGGUGCGAGCGUUGUCCGGAAUUAUUGGGCGUAAAGAGCUCGUAGGCGGUUUGUUGCGUCGGCCGUGAAAACUCAGGGCUUAACUCUGAGCCUGCGGUCGAUACGGGCAGACUUGAGUUCGGUAGGGGAGACUGGAAUUCCUGGUGUAGCGGUGAAAUGCGCAGAUAUCAGGAGGAACACCGGUGGCGAAGGCGGGUCUCUGGGCCGAUACUGACGCUGAGGAGCGAAAGCGUGGGUAGCAAACAGG
rnacentral:rRNA from 1 species